GUGAACGAGCGACGCCGCGUGGGUGAAGAAGGCCUUCGGGUUGUAAAACCCUGUUAGCUACUAUGAAUCGCGGGUGGUGAAUAGCCAUCCCGUUUGACAAAGGUAGCAAAGAAAGCACCGGCUAACUACGUGCCAGCAGCCGCGGUAAUACGUAGGGUGCGAACGUUGUUCGGAAUCACUGGGCAUAAAGAGCGCGUAGGCGGUCCAAUCAGUCAGGCGUGAAAUCCCCCGGCUUAACCGAGGAACUGCGCUUGAUACUGUUGGGCUUAGAGUGCAGGAGGGGAGAGCGGAAUUCCUGGUGGAGCGGUGAAAUGCGUAGAUAUCAGGAGGAACGCCGGUGGCGAAAGCGGCUCUCUGGUCUGCUACUGACGCUGAGGCGCGAAAGCUAGGGGAGCAAACGGGAUUAGAUACCCCGGUAGUCCUAGCCCUAAACGAU
rnacentral:rRNA from 1 species